rnacentral:piRNA from 1 species
UCAUGAGACGCUAAAAACAUG